rnacentral:lncRNA from 1 species
AUAAAUUGAAAAAUAAACUUGGAGUCAAUUAUAGGAGGUGAGAGUAAGUCUUCUAAGCCACAGUUCUGCUAAAAGAAAGCAACAGCCAUUCCAUAUAGGCUCUCGUCCUCCAGAUGUUCAGAUGGCUAUCUAUAUGUUAUCUGAUAAUCCUUAUUGGAUGAAUAAAUGCAGAGAUCUUAGAGCUUUUAGAGAGUUUUUACAGAGACUUUUAUUCUGUUUCUUUUAAGUUCUAUGGAUAUGUUUUCCUCAGGCCCUUAACAACUGACUUUCCAGGUAGAUGAAAUAAGAUGUUUGACCUUCAUAACUAAAAAAACAUACAAUAAAGUUGGUUUGGACUGGAGGUAUCUGUUUUUGCCUUCUUCCUAGCACAUGCCUUAAAUCAAUCACACGCUUUUUAUGCUUUAUUUUUUUUUCAUUUAGGUUGUGAUCAAAAUAUGACAACAGAAUUUUAGAUGUUGGGAAGAUCCCAACUGGGAAAUUCUUGUUACUCUGAGCCUCUUUGCUAGAGGUACGUUAACCGGCUUUCUGUAGUGUUAUAAACAAAAAAUAAUUUGAGUUGGCAAUUAAAAAGUUGCUGAUGAGGUCUUCUUUCUUGGAAGGGCCAAAUAUCUCCAUGUGGAGAUAGCAAAAAUUAAAUUAAAAAGUAAUUAAAAUUUAAAUUUGUUUUCUGCAUUCUGAAGGUGGUGAAUAUCAGUUCUGCUGGUCAUGUUUUCCCUUCUGCAUAUUCUCUUUUGGAAUGUGAAAAGACAAAGCCCUGUCCUAAUUCUCAAUAAAGAUGUAAUUGACCUGCUAUGAUUUUUGAAAGUCACAGUUCAUCUUUUUUCUUCAGGAUGAUUUUCCUUACAAGUUCUGUAACAUGAGGUCUUAUUUCUUCAACAGAGACAGUAGAGUCCCAGGCCUUUACUACUUUCCCAUUGGGGUCUACUAAGUAUUUCCAGAAGUUCCAGGUUGGUUCUUCUCCAGUAGAAUCAAUUAAGUACUUGAAGGCAGGAAUUGCACCAGCUCCACUGACCGCAACUUUGCUGAACAUAGGAAAGGAGGCACCGUAAGUCUUUCGUGCAAAACUCUCUAUUUCUUUGUUGGUGUCUGGUUCUUGCUGCCCAAACUGAUUGCAUGGGAAUGCCAGCACAUUGAAAUGAUAUGGGCCAAGAUCUUUCUGUAACUGUUGUAAGGCCUUGUAGUGACUAUCUGUAAACCCAC